UUUGGGUUGCAUUCAGGAGAUGUAUAUUAGAAUUAUACAGGCCUUC
rnacentral:tRNA from 1 species